CCAUUUCCUUUUCGUCGAGAAAGAGUAUUUUGGAGUGGUGCAGAAAGAUUGAUUUGUGUGCAGGAGACCUCUUGGCAAGCCGUUGCAACUUGCAUGCGGAGUAAUAAGGAACUUAGUUCAAUUUGUGUGCAGGAGACCUCUCAGCUCCAAGUAGUACCCAUGUCUUCUUCCUGAGAUAAAAUCCCCUUCUCCGCAGGCACUGGGCAACAUCUGAAACUCGCCGCCAGUUUCCGCACUGCAGCAGGCUUCUCAAGAAGGUCAACAUAUGACUGCAGAAAUGCGUAUACCAUUACAUGACUUACGUAAGAUUACAACUCAAUUCUCAGUGGACUCAAGGAUAGGAAAGGGUGGGUAUGGAGACGUUUACAAGGGAGUGUACAAAGGAAGAGAUGUUGCUGUGAAGUUGCUUCAUGUUGAUACGGUGCAAGGAAUAGAUGACCUACAAUAUCUCAGUGAAGUUGAUAUCCUUUCGAGGAUUAAGCACCC